rnacentral:rRNA from 1 species
AACGAACGCUGGCGGCAUGCUUAACACAUGCAAGUCGAACGAGAGCAUGGCUUCGGCCAUGUUUCUAGUGGCAAACGGGUGAGUAACGCGUGGGAAUCUACCUAGUUGUGGUGAAUAACUGCGGGAAACUGCAGCUAAUACAGCAUAAUCCCUUCGGGGGAUAGGCUUCGGUCGAAAUUAGAGGAGCCCGCGUCAGAUUAGGUAGUUGGUAGGGUAAUGGCCUACCAAACCUGUGAUCUGUAGCUGGUCUGAGAGGAUGAUCAGCCACACUGGGACUUAGACACGGCCCAGACUCCUACGGGAGGCAGCAGUGGGGAAUAUUGGACAAUGGAGGAAACUCUGAUCCAGCAAUGCCGCGUGAGUGAAGAAGGCUUUCGGGUUGUAAAACUCUUUCAGUAGGGAAGAUAAUGACGGUACCUACAGAAGAAGCCCCGGCAAACUUCGUGCCAGCCGCCGCCGUAACAC